rnacentral:misc_RNA from 1 species
GGUGAGUACGUAGAGUAUACUUCGGUAUACUUAUAUACUUACC